GCAGUAGCCGCGGUAAUACAGAGGGUGCAAGCGUUAAUCGGAAUUACUGGGCGUAAAGCGCGCGUAGGUGGUUUGUUAAGUUGGAUGUGAAAUCCCCGGGCUCAACCUGGGAACUGCAUCCAAAACUGGCAAGCUAGAGUAUGGUAGAGGGUGGUGGAAUUUCCUGUGUAGCGGUGAAAUGCGUAGAUAUAGGAAGGAACACCAGUGGCGAAGGCGACCACCUGGACUGAUACUGACACUGAGGUGCGAAAGCGUGGGGAGCAAACAGGAUUAGAUACCCCAGUAGUCCUUGUCUCUUAUAC
rnacentral:rRNA from 1 species